rnacentral:rRNA from 1 species
GGUUAAGCGACUAAGCGUACACGGUGGAUGCCCUGGCAGUCAGAGGCGAUGAAGGACGUGCUAAUCUGCGAAAAGCGCCGGCGAGGUGAUAUGAACCUUUGACCCGGCGAUGUCCGAAUGGGGAAACCCAGUGUGUUCCGACACACUAUCGUUAACUGAAUACAUAGGUUAACGAGGCGAACCGGGGGAACUGAAACAUCUAAGUACCCCGAGGAAAAGAAAUCAACCGAGAUUCCCCCAGUAGCGGCGAGCGAACGGGGAGCAGCCCAGAGUCUGAAUCAGCUUGUGUGUUAGUGGAAGCGUCUGGAAAGUCGCACGGUACAGGGUGACAGUCCCGUACACGAAAGCACACAGGCUGUGAACUCGAAGAGUAGGGCGGGACACGUGGUAUCCUGUCUGAAUAUGGGGGGACCAUCCUCCAAGGCUAAAUACUCCUGACUGACCGAUAGUGAACCAGUACCGUGAGGGAAAGGCGAAAAGAACCCCGGCGAGGGGAGUGAAAAAGAACCUGAAACCGUGUACGUACAAGCAGUGGGAGCCUCUUUUAUGGGGUGACUGCGUACCUUUUGUAUAAUGGGUCAGCGACUUAUAUUCUGUAGCAAGGUUAACCGUAUAGGGGAGCCGAAGGGAAACCGAGUCUUAACUGGGCGUUAAGUUGCAGGGUAUAGACCCGAAACCCGGUGAUCUAGCCAUGGGCAGGUUGAAGGUUGGGUAACACUAACUGGAGGACCGAACCGACUAAUGUUGAAAAAUUAGCGGAUGACUUGUGGCUGGGGGUGAAAGGCCAAUCAAACCGGGAGAUAGCUGGUUCUCCCCGAAAGCUAUUUAGGUAGCGCCUCGUGAACUCAUCUUCGGGGGUAGAGCACUGUUUCGGCUAGGGGGCCAUCCCGGCUUACCAACCCGAUGCAAACUACGAAUACCGAAGAAUGUUAUCACGGGAGACACACGGCGGGUGCUAACGUCCGUCGUGAAGAGGGAAACAACCCAGACCGCCAGCUAAGGUCCCAAAGUCAUGGUUAAGUGGGAAACGAUGUGGGAAGGCACAGACAGCCAGGAUGUUGGCUUAGAAGCAGCCAUCAUUUAAAGAAAGCGUAAUAGCUCACUGGUCGAGUCGGCCUGCGCGGAAGAUGUAACGGGGCUAAACCAUGCACCGAAGCUGCGGCAGCGACGCUUAUGCGUUGUUGGGUAGGGGAGCGUUCUGUAAGCCGUUGAAGGUGUCCUGUGAGGGGUGCUGGAGGUAUCAGAAGUGCGAAUGCUGACAUAAGUAACGAUAAAGCGGGUGAAAAGCCCGCUCGCCGGAAGACCAAGGGUUCCUGUCCAACGUUAAUCGGGGCAGGGUGAGUCGACCCCUAAGGCGAGGCCGAAAGGCGUAGUCGAUGGGAAACAGGUUAAUAUUCCUGUACUUGGUGUUACUGCGAAGGGGGGACGGAGAAGGCUAUGUUAGCCGGGCGACGGUUGUCCCGGUUUAAGCAUGUAGGCGGAGGUUCCAGGUAAAUCCGGUUCCUUAUUAACGCUGAGGUGUGAUGACGAGGCACUACGGUGCUGAAGUAACAAAUGCCCUGCUUCCAGGAAAAGCCUCUAAGCAUCAGGUAACAUCAAAUCGUACCCCAAACCGACACAGGUGGUCAGGUAGAGAAUACCAAGGCGCUUGAGAGAACUCGGGUGAAGGAACUAGGCAAAAUGGUGCCGUAACUUCGGGAGAAGGCACGCUGAUAUGUAGGUGAAGCCCCUGCGGGUGGAGCUGAAAUCAGUCGAAGAUACCAGCUGGCUGCAACUGUUUAUUAAAAACACAGCACUGUGCAAACACGAAAGUGGACGUAUACGGUGUGACGCCUGCCCGGUGCCGGAAGGUUAAUUGAUGGGGUUAGCGGUAACGCGAAGCUCUUGAUCGAAGCCCCGGUAAACGGCGGCCGUAACUAUAACGGUCCUAAGGUAGCGAAAUUCCUUGUCGGGUAAGUUCCGACCUGCACGAAUGGCGUAAUGAUGGCCAGGCUGUCUCCACCCGAGACUCAGUGAAAUUGAACUCGCUGUGAAGAUGCAGUGUACCCGCGGCAAGACGGAAAGACCCCGUGAACCUUUACUAUAGCUUGACACUGAACACUGGUCCUUGAUGUGUAGGAUAGGUGGGAGGCUUUGAAGCGUGGACGCCAGUCUGCGUGGAGCCAACCUUGAAAUACCACCCUUUAAUGGCUGGUGUUCUAACGUAGACCCGUAAUCCGGGUUGCGGACAGUGUCUGGUGGGUAGUUUGACUGGGGCGGUCUCCUCCCAAAGAGUAACGGAGGAGCACGAAGGUUAGCUAAUCCUGGUCGGACAUCAGGAGGUUAGUGCAAUGGCAUAAGCUAGCUUGACUGCGAGAGUGACGGCUCGAGCAGGUGCGAAAGCAGGUCAUAGUGAUCCGGUGGUUCUGAAUGGAAGGGCCAUCGCUCAACGGAUAAAAGGUACUCCGGGGAUAACAGGCUGAUACCGCCCAAGAGUUCAUAUCGACGGCGGUGUUUGGCACCUCGAUGUCGGCUCAUCACAUCCUGGGGCUGAAGUAGGUCCCAAGGGUAUGGCUGUUCGCCAUUUAAAGUGGUACGCGAGCUGGGUUUAGAACGUCGUGAGACAGUUCGGUCCCUAUCUGCCGUGGGCGCUGGAGAAUUGAGGGGGGCUGCUCCUAGUACGAGAGGACCGGAGUGGACGCAUCACUGGUGUUCGGGUUGUCAUGCCAAUGGCACUGCCCGGUAGCUAAAUGCGGAAGAGAUAAGUGCUGAAAGCAUCUAAGCACGAAACUUGCCCCGAGAUGAGUUCUCCCUGAGACUUUAAGUCUCCUGAAGGAACGUUGAAGACUACGACGUUGAUAGGUCGGGUGUGUAAGCGCAGCGAUGCGUUGAGCUAACCGAUACUAAUGAACCGUGAGGCUUAACCUU